rnacentral:lncRNA from 1 species
AUAUAUUGUAAUAACUUUAAGACACAAUUUUAUACUUAAUACAUUGAUAUGAUCAAUAAAAGGACAAGUUUGUUUUCCAUUCAAGUGUGAUGUAUCCUGGAAUCGUCUAUAAAAUUAACUUUCGAUAUAUAUUUUCAAGAUAUUAAGAAUUAGAUAUAUAUAUUUAAUUCUUAAAUGCUCCCAGUCAUAAGAUUAUUAUGAGGAUGGUGAUCGAUCCGGAUAGACUGAUGCAC